rnacentral:rRNA from 1 species
GCAUUCAGUUGCCAUCGGUGAGGCCGGGCACUCUGGAUGGACUGCCGGCGACAAGCCGGAGGAAGGUGGGGACGGACGUCAAGUCAUCAUGGCCCUUAUGUCCAGGCGACACACGUGCUACAAUGGCCGGCACAGCGGGAAGCGAAGGGGCGACUCUGAGCGGAUCCCUUAAGGCCGGUCCCAGUUCGGAUUGCAGUCUGCAACUCGACUGCAUGAAGUUGGAAUCGCUAGUAAUCGUGGAUCAGCCAAGCCGCGGUGAAUACGUUCCCGGGCCUU